AGGGAAGAGGUGCAAUCAGGAAGCACGAGCGCUUUGGAAGCGCGGGGCUGCAGAGCUUGUGCCGAUUCGACGGCAUUCGAAUCCUGUCUUCCCUACCA
rnacentral:tRNA from 1 species